rnacentral:lncRNA from 1 species
GAUUUCCCGGAUAAAUUCCCGGAUAAGUUCCGGGAUAAAUUCCCGAUUUCCCGGAUAAAUUCCCGGAUAAAUUCCGGGAUAAAUUCCCGAUUUCCCGGAUAAAUUCCCCGACAAUUCCCGAUUUCCCGAGUCUCUCCCGUCCCCGCCUUUGCGACCUCCCCCUGUCCCCAAAAGCGCCGCCCCCGAAGGUCCCCAAAAAUCCUCAAAAAUCCCCAAAAGUCCCCGAAGGUCCCCAAAGGUCCCCAAAAGUCCCCAAAGGCCACCCCUGUCCGUGUCCCGGCUCCUCCCGUGUCCCAGUUCUGUCCCCUCCUGUCCCCAGCGGUGUCACCUCCUGUCCCCAAAGGCCCCGCCCAUCCCAGAGGUGUCACCUCCCGUCCCCAAAGGUGUCACCUCCUGUCCCCAAAGGUGUCACCUCCUGUCCCCUGUCCCCUCCCCCUGUCCCGGUUCCGUCCCCUCCUGUCCCCAAAGGCCCCGCCCAUCCCAGAGGUGCCACCUCCCGUCCCCAGAGGUGUCACCUCCUGUCCCCUCCCCCUGUCCCAGUUGCGUCCCCUCCCGUCCCCACCUGUCGCUCCUGUCCCCGUCGCUGUCGCUCCUGUCCCUCUGUCCGUGCGUCUGUCCGUCUGUCCCCGGGUCCCUCUGUCCUGUCCGUCUGUCCCUCUGUCCCCGUGUCCGUCUGUCCCCGGGUCCGUCUGUCCCUCCUGCCCCUCUGUCUGUCCCCGUGUCCGUCUGUCCUUCUGUCCCCGGGUCCCUCUGUCCUUCCUGUCCCUCUGUCCCCCGCAUCCCUCUGCCUGUCCCCUCUCUCCCCUCUGUCCGUCUGUCUGUCCCCUGUGUCCGUCUGUCCCCGGUGUCGGUCUGUCCCUCUGUCUGUCCGUCUGUCCCCCCUGUCCCCGGUGUCCGUCUGUCCCUGUCCCUCUGUUCCCCCUGUCCGUCUGUCCCCGGUGUCCGUCUGUCCCCCUGUCUGUCCCGGUGUCCGUCCCUCCGUCUGUCCCCGGUGUCCGUCGGUCUGUCCGUCUGUCCCCGCCGUGUCCGUCUGUCCGGAUGUCUCCGGUGUCCGUCCGUCCGUCCCGGGGUCCCCUGGCUCAGCUCUUGGCGGCCGCGGCGUGUCCGGGCUGCGGGGAGCCCGUGCGGGACCCGCUGCGGCUGCCGUGUGGUCACUGCUGCUGCGGUCAGUGCCUG